rnacentral:rRNA from 1 species
UGGGGAAUACUGCACAAUGGGCGCAAGCCUGAUGCAGCCAUGCCGCGUGUGUGAAGAAGGCCUUCGGGUUGUAAAGCACUUUCAGCGAGGAGGAAGGUGGUGAGCUUAAUACGCUCAUCAAUUGACGUUACUCGCAGAAGAAGCACCGGCUAACUCCGUGCCAGCAGCCGCGGUAAUACGGAGGGUGCAAGCGUUAAUCGGAAUUACUGGGCGUAAAGCGCACGCAGGCGGUUUGUUAAGUCAGAUGUGAAAUCCCCGGGCUCAACCUGGGAACUGCAUUUGAAACUGGCAAGCUAGAGUCUCGUAGAGGGGGGUAGAAUUCCAGGUGUAGCGGUGAAAUGCGUAGAGAUCUGGAGGAAUACCGGUGGCGAAGGCGGCCCCCUGGACGAAGACUGACGCUCAGGUGCGAAAGCGUGGGGCAGCAAACAGGAUUAGAUACCCUGGUAGUCCACGCUGUAAACGAUGUCGAUUUUGGAGGUUGUGCCCUUGAGGCGUGGCUUCCGGAGCUAACGCGUUAAAUCGACCGCCUGGGGAG